AACGAACGCUGGCGGCAGGCCUAACACAUGCAAGUCGAACGCUCGUAGCAAUACGGGAGUGGCAGACGGGUGCGUAACGCGUGGGAACAUACCCUUUGGUUCGGAAUAACUCAGGGAAACUUGAGCUAAUACCGGAUACGCCCGAGAGGGGAAAGAUUUAUUGCCGAAGGAUUGGCCCGCGUCUGAUUAGCUAGUUGGUAGGGUAACGGCCUACCAAGGCGACGAUCAGUAGCUGGUCUGAGAGGAUGAUCAGCCACACUGGGACUGAGACACGGCCCAGACUCCUACGGGAGGCAGCAGUGGGGAAUAUUGGACAAUGGGCGCAAGCCUGAUCCAGCCAUGCCGCGUGAGUGAUGACGGCCUUAGGGUUGUAAAGCUCUUUACCUGGGAAGAUAAUGACGGUACCAGGAGAAUAAGCCCCGGCUAACUUCGUGCCAGCAGCCGCGGUAAU
rnacentral:rRNA from 1 species